rnacentral:rRNA from 1 species
CCUACGGGUGGCAGCAGUGAGGAAUAUUGGUCAAUGGGCGAACGCCUGAACCAGCCAAGUCGCGUGAGGGAGUACUGCCCUAUGGGUUGUAAACCUCUUUUGUCGGGGAGCAACAGCGGGACGUGUCCGGCUGUGUGAGUACACGAGGAAAAAGCACCGCCGAACACUGUGCCAGCAGCCGCGGUAAUACGGAGGAUGCGAGCGUUAUCAGGAUUUAUUGGGUGUAAAGGGUGCGCAGGCGGAUUUUUAAGUCAGCGGUCAAAUCGUGGGGCUCAACCCCAUCCAGCCGUUGAAACUGGGGAUCUAGAGUGUGCGAGAGGUAUGCGGAAUGCGUGGUGUAGCGGUGAAAUGCAUAGAUAUCACGCAGAACCCCGAUUGCGAAGGCAGCAUACCGGUGCACAACUGACGCUCAGGCACGAAAGCGUGGGUAUCGAACAGGAUUAGAUACCCCGGUAGUC